AUACCUAUACAUAUCCGAGGUCCUUCACCAAAGGGCAUAUAAGUGUAUUGUUUGAUAUUCUUUUUUUCUUCACUCAAGAACCUUUCUGGUCGAAAUUCUUCAGGAUCCGGAAAGUAUUCUGGGUUAUGAUGCAAAUCGUAUACAGGUAUAUGGACACGAGUACCUUUCUCUAAAAGCAGACCUGUGGGAAGAGUAUAGUUUUCCGUUACUUCGCGAGUGAGAACACCCAGGACAGGGUAAAUACGAAGUGUUUCGUCAAUGCACGCUUGAACAAACGGCAUCUCAUUGAUACACUCGUAUUCUAUCUUGCCUUCGUGUCUUUGGUAAUAGUCGUCGAUUUCUUCAAGCACUCGAGUCUGAGCAUCUUUCCUCUUUGCUAGU